CGCGCUCCAGCAGGUAUAUCUCACUGGUCACCAUAGCAGCACCCACCCGUAGCACGCGCUCCAGCAGGUAUAUCUCACUGGUCACCAUAGCAGCACCCACCCGUAGCACGCGCUCCAGCAGGUAUAUCUCACUGGUCACCAUAGCAACACCCACCCGUAGCACGCGCUCCAGCAGGUAUAUCUCACUGGUCACCAUAGCAACACCCACCCGUAGCACGCGCUCCAGCAGGUAUAUCUCACUGGUCACCAUAGCAACACCCACCCGUAGCACGCGCUCCAGCAGGUAUAUCUCACUGGUCACCAUAGCAGCACCCACCC